UCUGAAAUACCAACCUUGAGCAAGAACCCAC
rnacentral:piRNA from 1 species